rnacentral:lncRNA from 1 species
UUGAGGUAACAAUGAGUCCCUGCGUUUUUUGCAAAACAAAGCAAUCAAAAUAUAGUGGGCGAUCAUUUCACAAGUGAGUAUACAACGCUGAAGCGUUCUGCAAAUGAUAACUUGCAGAGGUUAUGUCAGCAUACGAAGUAUUUACUAAUUAUAUUUAACGAGUAUUAUAACGUACGAAUCGGAUUUCCCGUGAAAGAUGUGUUGCGCCUUCAGCAGUGGUU